AGUCCUAAAACUCCUAAUAUAUAUCUUCUUAUUCCCUUAAUAGGAAAACUCACCCAAUAAGAAAUAGUAGAAGUUGUGUCUAAAUAGGAAUCAUUCAUUCCUAAAUAAACCUUAAGUAAUAAGGAGUUUUAGUGAAUAAACACUCACAAAAAUGAAUUAAAAAGCCACAUGGCAAAUAAUAUCACUUUAAGUUUCUUUCCACAAAAUUCAGAUUUCUGGAAAACGCCGUGGGCACGCUCUAACUGAAGAGAUCUUCUGCCAUCUUUUCUUUCUUUUAUCCAAAAACUCUCCAAAGCAUCAAUCUUUAUGAAAAAUCAUCAAAUAUCAUCAUCUUAACUUCAUGUUGCAUCAAAAU
rnacentral:lncRNA from 1 species